rnacentral:rRNA from 1 species
CUGACGCUCAGUCACGAAAGCACGGGGAGCGAAUAGGAUUAGAUACCCUAGUAGUCCGUGCCGUAAACGAUGCAUACUAGGCAUUGGGGAAAUCGACCUCCUCAGUGUCGAAGCAAACGCGUUAAGUAUGCCGCCUGGGAAGUACGAGCGCAAGCUUAAAACUCAAAGGAAUAGACGGGGAUCCGCACAAGUGGUGGAGCGUGUGGUUUAAUUCGAUGGUAAGCGAGGCACCUCACCAGGGCUUGAAACUGAACUGCAAUAUUUGGAAACAAAUAUGCCUUCGAGGGUGUUCAGCAGGUGUUGCAUGGUUGUCGUCAGCUCGUGCCGUAAGGUGUUCCCUUAAGUGGGGUAACGAGCGCAACCCCUAUUGUAUGUUAGAUAUGUCAUACAAGACUGCCCAGCCUAAAGAUCAUGAAAAUACAUUUCGUGAUUUGUAGGCUGGGAGGAAGGAGGGGAUGACGUCAAAUCAGCAUGGCCCUUUGACGCCCUGGGCGACACACGCGCUACAAUGGCCGAUACAGAGGGUUGCCAAACCGCGAGGUGGAGCUAAUCUCAAAAAAUCGGUCUCAGUUCGGAUUGGAGUCUGCAACUCGACUCCAUGAAGCUGGAAUCACCUAGUAAUCGGGAAUUCAGCCACGUCCCGGGAAGCUUU